CCGUCGCGUCAGCGCGCCAGAGGGGGCUAGCUGCGCCCCUUGCCAGCCCCACCCAAGCGCAGGAGGUCUCUACUGCACCUGCGCGGCGCGGCGCGCGCAAACCGGGUGGCCUCCCGUGGUUCCUCCCUUCAGCCUGGGUCCCUCUGGGCAUCUGUGCGGCCUACGCUUUCCGGCGAGUGUUCGGUCGGCUCCCUGGAAGGCCUUAGGCCGUGGCUGGUACUGUUUAGUCUCAGCGGCUUUAAGAAACCCGUCUUCUUGACUGACUCGUAGUUCUCACGGGCUCUGGAAGCCGACUACGCCGAGUUCUGUUUCCCUCCCUCGAGUUACCGAAAGGAUGGUCUUGAUUGAGAGUAUUUCCAGGAAAACUAGAAAUAUUCCCAAGUGUGCUUCAGUUGUGUUAAACUUCAGGGUGUAGAUCAUAAUGUUGUACCACUGUGGCAGAGACAGAGUUGUAAGACCUGGGCCUGAAUCCUGACUUCUCCACUUAAAGAGAGCAGAAACAGUGAUUUAAGACACUCAAUCUCAAGAAUGACAGAAAUAAGGAAGAGAUGAGAGCAGCAAGUGUUUCUAAAGUAAAAGAAGCAAUGUUCACAGACAUGGGAAGAAAUGGAAAAAUUGCUUUGCAUAUGGAUUAGUGAAAAACAGCAGAAUUAGCCCAAUUCAGUACAAUAUCACAUGAAAAUCUGCUUUUACCACUUUGGGAGGAGGUUGAAAGUGAGUUAUCAGGUGAUGUGGCUACCAGUGAUGACAUCGAUCAUGUAAGCUGAAGAAGUUAGCAAGAUAUGCCAGAGAAGUACAGAAUGAAGACCUUAAUUCAGGCGUGAAACCCAUUGGACAGAAUGCCGACACUGAAAUUCAAUGGUGGAAAUUGUUUGUAACAGACAAUAUGCUACGAGAUGUUUUGAAAUACACAAAUUAUAAAAUACAUUGUGAAAGCAUUCUAUAUGCAUCAAUAGCAGUACUCAAAAUAUAUUUAUCAUGCCAUCUCACUAUGUUAACUAAAAACCUUCGUAGCAGGACUUUAUCAUUCUAUUGUCAAAAUCUACAGGAUUUAUGGAAGAGUGACAAAUGUGGUGUUGAGAUUUUUAGAACAAUAAUGAUGCGCAGGAGAUUUGGUUGACUUCAAAAUUGCCUAUGUUUUGACAACAAAAAGACCUGCCAAGAAAGAAAAAUCUCUGACAAUUUGGCUACUACUCACUCUUUUUUUGAACACUUUGUUUUGAACUGUCAAGCAAUUUAUACAAUGUACAAAUACAUGUAUCAUCUCGUGGCUGUUGAAGCUUUCAGCAAUAUAUGCCAAGUAGACCUGCCAAAUAUGGUAAAAAAAUAUAUCCCUUGGUAGAUGCGAAGACACUUUGCACCUUAAAUUUAGAAAUAUAUCCUGGAACGCAGCCACUGGGUCUUCAUUCGUGCAGUAAUAAACCCUACUGAUACAGGGGGAAAAUGCAACUCCCAACCCGUGAGGUGUCAGAUACACGAAGUUCAUCCUCCCCAAAAUUGAAGAAUGAAUUCUAAGGAACAACGGAGGUUAUUGAGACAGAUGAUGGCUCCUGAGAGGCAGUGGGGGACUCGAAAGCGGGUUGCCACCAAGCCCACUUUUCUGAGAGAGUUUUAUGGAGCAAAAAUAUGUGGGUCACCCUAUAGUUAACCAAUAAAAUUACAAAUAUAGCCACUUAGCUAAUGUUGAUUCAGUAGUGAAGUGGGGAACCUAGCAAGGGCGUAGGGAUGACAUCAUUAACCUUGGUUGAUAAUCUAUAGUCUUGUUUUUAGUCUUAGUAGUCUUAAUUUUGUUUUAAUUAAUUAACUAUUGGUACAUUUUAGAUAUACAU